CCCUUAGAUGUCCGGGGCUGCACGCGCGCUACACUGAAGGAAUCAGCGUGCUAAAACCAUUGUCGAAAGGCAUUGGUAAACCCAUUAAAGUCCUACGUGAUUGGGAUCGGGAAUUGCAAUUAUUUCCCUUGAACGAGGAAUUCCCAGUAAGUGUGGGUCAUAAGCUCGCGUUGAUUACGUCCCUGCCCUUUGUACACACCGCCCGUCGCUGCCCGGGACUGAGCCGUUUCGAGAAAAGCGGGGACUGCUGCUGUCGGGGCUUUCGGGCCUUGGCUUCGGUGGAAACCGCUUUAAUCGCAGUGGCUUGAACCGGGCAAAAGUCGUAACA
rnacentral:rRNA from 1 species